CAUAAUAAGAGGACAACAAUACUUUUUGAGUAGUCAAUUUUGAAAUGGUAUAUUGAUUGAAGUGAAUAAUUCAUGUUCAUAUUGUGCUUUUGUUGAGAAUUAGCAUGGUGAUCAAUGACGUCAUACCUGUUUUUAACUAAGAAUUAACGUUUUGUGAUUGAUAAGAGCUUAUAUAUUCAGUACCACAUUGAAUGUGUUCUCAUAACGGAGCGUAUGAAUUCUAGCUAAUAAUAUACAUUGACUAUGAAUGUCUUUACAUUGGUGGUAUUUCUCUAUAAUGUUGGAGUUGCAUAUUUUCAGCAAUGCACAGUCAGAACAUUACGUGUAGAUGCAGAUAAGACUGGGGCUAGGUUAAUAAACGGAUACACAUAUAUCAUUUUCUCUAAUAUUGGUCCGAAUGCCUGUUUCAAUGAAUGUAUCCGAAGAACAAGGUGUCGUUCAUUUAACUACAACAGCAUAACACGGAGAUGUGACAUUAAUAAAAUGUCCAGUAGCUCAGAGACAGAUUUUGUGCACGAAACUAAUUGUGUUUAUGUUGAUAUGACACAAUACAGAGGGGAUUCCUUUUAUGAUCCAUGUCCCGGGAGCGAUUCCUGUGCUGAGGGAGAAGUUUGCCAGACUCUGAAAGAUAACAAAAAGAUAUGUCUGAAAGAUGUGAAAGAAUGCUUGAAUGAUUGGGUAUCAUUUUCGAAUCACUGUUAUUUGUUUGUGUAUACAAAGAUGUCUUGGGAAAAUGCCAAGGUUGAAUGCCAGACAAAAGGGGGAUACUUGGCGAAAAUUGAAAAUACUGACGAGAACACAUGGGUGAAGUCUUUAAUUAAAGAUGAGAUGUGGAUAGGAUUGAACGAUCGUCAGACAAAUGGACAUUGGGUUUGGGAUUUUGAUAAUUCAACACUCACUUAUGACGAUUGGGGACAUAAUGAACCAAAUGGCGGAUAUGGAGAAAACUGUUGUCAGUUUUGUAAAACUUUAUGUCAUUUAAGUAGUUUUAGAUGGAAUGAUGCGCCUUGUAAUUUAGAAAUUGGAUAUGUGUGUGAGAAACUCUCGUAAAGAUAGUUAUCACAUUCAGCUUCAGCUCCAUUUCGUAACUUUCUAUUUUGGACUCUCCCCUCCCAUUUUGAGAAAAUUUAUUACUUCAGUUAAUAACUGUUAAGAAUGUUCGCUCCUCUGUUUCAAAAUAACAACCUUUUUAAAAGACUGUUAUAAAUUGAUAUAAUAUAAACAUGACAAAUAAGGGAACUUAAAAAGUAGAAAAAAAUUAUAGGUCCGUGUCCUUAUUUUUGAGAUAUAAUCAAUUGAAAAUUUGGCGAGAAAUGAUCUCUCUAGGUUUUUCAUACACUUAGGUCCCUUCUGGUCAUACAGGUAUUCAAGUAUUUAUAAAUCAUUUGGCUUUAGAUUUUUUGAGUUUGAACAUUUCUGAAGAAGGUUGAUUCAGAAAAACGCAUCAUACUCAUUGAGUAUUAAUUUCAUUUCUAUGACCACAGGCACUUGUCUCUAAUUUGUUUUCUUCACUAUUUACCUUUAUAUAACACGUCUUAUAUAAAGGUAUAUAGGGAACAACUUUUUGGAGACAAGUGCCUGUGUCUAUGAAGUCUUUAUUUAUAAUGCAAUCAUAUGUGAAAAUAUAAAAAGACGUUUACUUUCCCAUUUUUUUCCUGUUUUUAGAUUGGCUCUUACUUUUCAUAUUUUUUGUAUAUUUUAAAAUAAUUCAUAAAUCAAUUAAACCUUUUCAAUUAUGUGUUUAAAACUUAUUUAAUACAAGUAAAUAGCUCCUUAUAAAUUGACCUAAAGAGUGACUGGGGUAAAGAAGUAUGGUCACUUUUGGUCUUCUUCUGACAAGCAGUAAAACUCUUGCUAAAGUGGGGCGUCCGUUUGACUGUGUGUGAUGUAUAAUCUUGCAGCAUAGUCCGGUCAGACAGGAUACAUUAAUCCGACGCCUCGUGUAAAGGGAUUGCAACGCUAUCUCCACGCAAAAGAAACUUUACAACAACUGUUUGAUGAGAUUCGUCGAAGGCCUGUUGCACGCCUAAGUUUCUUUCAAGUGGAAAUUCAAAUGACCCACCCUUCAUCCUGGUGGUCUCUUAUUGAAGGGUUUACUUUUUGUAUGAAUUGAUAUUUUGAUCUCGUCCUGAACUUGCAUGUCACUGGACUUUAAGCCAACACCAAUGGAUCAAUCAACCUGAUGAAUUGUUUUAAGAGAAGAGUAUUAUGAUCACUUCAUUCAAUCAAACAAUUUAUCUCUAAAUUUUUCUUUUUUUCCAAAAUACCAUUAUAUAUGAAUCUUAUAUUUUCACUGUAAUGAUAUUCAACGUAUUACACAUUGUUCAAUGCAUCAGAGAUGUCUGUAUCGAUUAAAAUCAACUUGUUGUUACUUAAUAUUUUAUUCCACGUGAAUGCAAUUUGACAUGCGUAGUAACUUAGCUUGUUUUUUCGUAUACAUGGUAAUACGAUAAUACAUCUCAAACGCUAAUGAUUGUGAGGACAAUUGUAUGUGUCAACUACAAGUUCGCUCAGGAAAAAAAAUGAUUUUUCAUUAAAAAAUUUUGAAAAUACCUGAACUUUAUGGGGUACAUCUAGGUCCAAGGACACAUCAGUUAGAAAUCACUGCCGUUUGCGUCAACCAUUUUUUAGAAGUCUGUUCUUACUUUUUAAUUAGCACAUGCUAUUUUAAUUUUAUUUCACAUCAAUGCUUAAUUCUUAUACCAAAAGUAUUACUGAUUUAAACAGUAAAUUCUUCGUUAAAUCAGGACGUCUCCCUUAACUACCUACAACACACUGCAAUGACUUCGUAUACAAAAUUUAGGAAAGGAGUCUGUGUCCGACGCGGAAGUGAAACACAACCGCCAAUUGUGUCGGAUAAUAAUUGUUUUGCAAAGGUUGCCCAUGCAGUGUCAGUCAUACUACUAGUAUGCAUAUUUGGAAGCUAAUAGCUUAUAAAUUUUUUUUUUAUUAGGCAAAAGCUGUGUUUUUGCGAUUUUAUUAUUUAGAUAAUCGUUAUUAAAGAAGAUUCAUUGGUUGCUGUCUUAUUGAUGUGUAUCUAACACACCUUUUUUUCGGAGAAAGUUUCCAAUUUCGAUUUCUUUGAAUUUGCGAGUUCCACUUGCGGUUGCUGCAAAACCAUGAUUCACGUGGCUCUUGAGACAUCUGUAAAUCAUUGCCAGAAGGUAAUAAAAAUAAGAAUAAGAAAAAAAUAUUUUGAUUCGGCAAAAGUCAAAUAUACAACACAAUUUAAAAUGAAGUAUUUAUCUAUAUGAUUUACCUCUUUAAAAGUUUUAAAAAAUUAGAUUAAAAUAUGGUUACUAUUUAAAUAAAUAGAUUUCCUUUAUAAAAAUCAAAUAAAAAGUUUUGAACUAUAAUAUAUACUUCGUGAUCUAGAAAUUUCAAAGAACAAAAUAUUUUCCACCUGCAUUGAUUUACCCAAUUUCUGGAAAGAUUUACAUCUCUACUCUACGUCUACUCUGUGCUUUUGUUAGAUGUAUUUCUAUUUGUAUGCAUCUGAUGAAUUAAGACUUUUUCAACUGAUUUUUAUAGUUUGGUCUUAUGUUGUACUGUUACACCACUGUCCCAGGUUAGGGGGAGGUUUGGCGCCUUCAAACUAGUUUAACCGCGUCACAUUAUGUAUGUGCCUGUCCCAAGUCAGGAGCCUGUAAUUCAGUGGUUGUCGUUUGUUGCUGUGUAACAUAUUUGUUUUUUUUGUUCAUUAUUUUGUACAUAAAUCAGGCCGUAAGUAUUCUCGUUUGAAUUGCUUUACAUUUAUCAUUUCGGGGCCUGUUAUAGCUGACUAAGCGGUAUGGGCUUUGCUCAUUGUUGAAGGCCGUAAGGUGACCUAUAGUUGUAAAUUUCUGUGUCAUUUGGUCUCUUGUGGAGAAUUGUCUCAUUGGCAAACAUACCACAUCUUCUUUUUAUAUUAAAAUUUAAAAUUAAAAAGGCAACGACCUUAUGUGAUCCAUGCCUUAAAACAUAUAUCUGAUUACUUCAGUUCUGACUUAGUGGAAUUAAUUUUUUUUGGAGUGUAAAAAAUUCUUUGGAUGUUAUAAAUAAAUUACGUGCUUUUGAUGGUCCUUUUGAUUCUGUUGACAGUUUUGACCUUUCAACUCUUUACACUACACUUCCACACAUUCUUAUCAAAGAAAAGUUUUCCUAUCUAAUUAAAUGGUCGUUUGGUAAAUCUGAAUGCAAAUAUAUUUGCUGCAACUCAUUUGAAGCCUUCUUCCCUAAUGAGAAAGGUAAAUAUGCUAGAUACACUUACUGGAGGUGUGAUGAGAUGAUUGAAGCUGUUAAUUUUCCCCUUGAUAAUAUUUAUGUACGUUUCGGCAACAAAGUUUAUCGACAGGUUGUAGGUAUUCCUAUGGGCACCAAUUGCGCCCCUUUAAUAGCAAACUUGUUUUUGUAUUGUUAUGAAUCACAGUUUAUGACCAAACUCAGUAAAGACCCGUCUAAAUUGCAUUUAAUUGAUAAAUUCAACAACACUUACCGUUAUCUUGAUGAUAUUUUUUCGUUAAAUAAUCAAGAUUUUUCUAAAUAUGCUGCCGAAAUUUACCCAAAGGAACUUACUAUAAAUAAAUCAAAUGUAAACGGUAAUAACUGUCCUUUCCUAGAUUUAGAUAUUUCAGUUUUACACUGGAAACUCCAUACCAAAAUUUACGACAAUUUUCCUUUUUUGGAUGGUGAUGUUCCUUUGGCACCAUCUUACGGUGUUUAUAUAUCACAACUCGUUCGCUAUGCCCGUGUCUGUUGUGACGUUUUCGAUUUUAAUGAACGUAAUCUAUGUAUUACUGGUAAAUUAUUAAGUCAGGGAUUUCGUUACCACAAAUUACUUAAAACCUUUACUUAAUUCUUCCAUAGAUAUAAAGAUUUGGUUUUGAAGUUUGGUUGUACCUAUAGAAAACUUAUUUCAAACGGGAUAGCACAUCCUCAUUUUUACGGAGAUGUUGUUUACCGUGCCCGGAAAUUUAGAAAGGAUCCUGGUAAACUUAUCGAUCCUUUAAAUAAACUUAUUCGAAAAGGUUACCAAUUCAACACUAUAAUUAGAUCUUUGAAUAUUGUUUUUAUUGGUAUUAAUAUUGAUUUUUUUAUCAGUAAAUUAAAAGCAAACUAAAUAUUAUUGUUAUAUACAUAUGCACAUUCAUGGAUCUACAAUCUGUCGGUACCUGUAUUUUGGCAUUGCACAAGGUCAUGUUUUUCUUUGACUGUUUAUGACGUCUUUAUACUAAAUCCAUUGGAUUUUGGAUGUGUAAUGAUCGAUAAUUUAGUCUUAUUAGUUGUUAUUGGCUUUGCACUAGCUGUCAGUAACUGCGAGUACUCUCAGAUCUGUACUUAGUGUCUUUUUGUUGUUGGGAUGUACAAGUACCCGGCCACGUCCACUCUGUGUUUUUGUUAGAUGUAUUUCUAUUUGUAUCCAUCUGAUGAGUUAAGUCUUUUUCAACUGAUUUUUAUAGUUCGUUCUUAUGUUGUACCGUAACACCACUGUCCCAGGUUAGGGGGAGGGUUGGGAUCCCGCUAAAAUGUUUAACCCCGCCACAUUCUGUAUGUAUGUGCCUGUCCCAAGUUAGGAGCCUGUACUUCAGUGGUUGUCAAUGUUGAUGUGUACCAUUUUUUUUUCUCGUUUUUUUGUACAUAAAUUAGGCCGUUAGUUUUCUCGUUUGAAUUAUUUUACAUUUGUCAUUUCGGGGUCUUUUAUAGCUGACUAUGCAGUAUGGGCUUUGCUCAUUGUUGAAGGCCGUACGGCGACCUAUAGUUGUUAAUUUCUGUGUCAUUUUGGUCUCUUGUGAAGAGUUGUCUCAUUGGCAAUCAUACCACAUCUUCUUUUUAUAUUAUUUAGAGAUUAAGCACAUUUAUGCCAAUUUCGUGACGAGAAGAUAGUUGAAAGACAUGGUUCUUUUAAGAACACAGUCACUUGCCUGUCGAAAAGCAGUUUCUACUGUAUUUCAUAAAAUUAUGAUAUGAUAUUUACCAAAUGAAAAACAAAACAAUGUUAUCUGGAUGAUAUAUUCAUUUCUGUUUGAGGUAACCACACUGUGUGAGUGUUUAUAGAGAAAGUUAAACACGAAAAACUUUUAAGAGUACAAUAUCAUAAUGUAUUGAAAUUAUAAGUAAUAAAGGUUAUUUUUACAGAGUGUAUCGGUGUUCUGAAUAUUAGAGUUGGCCUACUUAACACAUCGAUAUUCUCCUUCAAAAUAACAGGAAUAACUAUCCUCUUUGUUUUAAAAGAUACCAUGACCUUAUUUGGACUUUAGCUCAUGUGACCUUUCAUUUUCAUCCAAGGUCAAAGAUCAUUGAGUGCAAAACAUUUUAUGCUUAAAUAUCUCUUAAAAUUGGCAUUGUGAUACAUGAAAGCUAUUAUUCUGGCAAGUUGUAAAACAUCAGUUUUUGCUAUUUUUCCGCUUAUCGAAAGAAUGGUCGCAGCCUUAUAGUAUUACAGCUUUGAACGUUCAUUCUGCAUAUGCACUUAGUUAAUACGUUUUUUAUUUUACCUUACAUAAGUGAACUGUUUUAUAACUCAUAUAUACAUAAUAAAUAAAAACCAAUAAGAGUUUAUCAGUAAUUCCAAUGUGAAAUAAUGAGAGAAAAAAUAUUGAAAAAACAUGGUUGAUUGAUUUUUUUGUUACACAGUAUAAUGUGCAAAUAAAUGUAAUGUUACUUCAUGGUAGUCAUUUCUUUAGUUAAAGUUAAAGUUUUUGGUCAAGGUAGUUUUUGCUGAACUUGAAGUCCAAUCAACUUGAAACUUAGUACACAUGUUCCCUAUGAUAUGAUCUUUCUAAUUUUAAUGCCAAAUUAGAGUCUUGACCCCAAUUUCACGGUCCACUGAACAUAGAAAAUGAUAGUGCGAGUGGGGCAUCCGUGUACUAUGGACACAUUCUUGUUUCCUUCUGUUUCCAUAUUCAUUGUUUCCAUAGAUACUAAAUGUGUACUUGGUAAUUAAGAUAAUUAGUAAUAUGCAUUCUAUAAGGUUUUUUUUUUCAUUCGGAUUCAAUCAAUUAUUAAAUGUCUUAACAUACACAUAAAAUGUGGAUAUAUUGCAAUAGUUAUAUCCAAGUUAUUAUUCUGGACCAUUCCGUUCCUACCCUUAUAGUCCAAUUUAAAAUUACAAACUCUUGUUUCCAAAUUUUGGUAGAUUGAUUAUAUUUUUCGGCCAUGAUUUGAUUUUUCAAAGCGACAGUUGUUUGCAUGAUUUCAGUUUGUUUACAAAAACAAUUGCUUCCUUCAAUUGACUUAAGUGCCCUUUUUUACAUUGAUUUGUAUUUCACACAAAGUCGGUGUUACUUUGAAACAAGCACUUGUUAAUUUUUGCAUAUGUUGCACUACAGUAGGUACCAGCACAAGUAAUAUGUGAAAGUUGUAUAUUAUAACAAACUGCAUAAAUAUGGAAUGAAAUGUUAAUCAUUUAUAUUAGAUAAAGAAAUAUAUGUAGCUUGAUAAUUAUAUAAACAUUUCAUGUAUCAUUGCAAUGUGAAAAUGUUUUUCAAAAUCAUUGUAUAUUGUUUUCUGUGUGUAAAUACCAUGCUGUCCAUCAAGAGCCCUUAAUUGGGACAAUGAAUAUUUUUAUUUUUCUUAUUUUGAUAUGUAUAUAUAUAUUUUAGUUUGAUUGUAAAAUUAUGUAAAGUAGUUUCACUUGGUAAAACCUAAUUUUGGUAUUUGAAUUACCGAUUAAAUGGUAAAAUUUUAAAAAAGAGUCAUGUCCUUUGUUUUAAUUCAUGUUCGAAAUUCUAAAUUUAAAAUAAGUGAGACUGCUGAUACAUUGUGUGUAAAAUUGUUCAACGUUUUUGCUUACUUUUUUUCUUUUUAUUAAACGCUUAUAUGUA